AGAAGCCGAUGAAGGACGUUACUAACGACGAUAUGCUUUGGGGAGCUGUAAGUAAGCUUUGAUCCAGAGAUUUCCGAAUGGGGAAACCCAGCAUGAGUUAUGUCAUGUUAUCGAUAUGUGAAUACAUAGCAUAUCAGAAGGCACACCCGGAGAACUGAAACAUCUUAGUACCCGGAGGAAGAGAAAGAAAAUUCGAUUCCCUUAGUAGCGGCGAGCGAAACGGGAAGAGCCCAAACCAACAAGCUUGCUUGUUGGGGUUGUAGGACACUCUAUACGGAGUUACAAAGGACGACAUUAGACGAAUCAUCUGGAAAGAUGAAUCAAAGAAGGUAAUAAUCCUGUAGUCGAAAAUGUUGUCUCUCUUGAGUGGAUCCUGAGUACGACGGAGCACGUGAAAUUCCGUCGGAAUCUGGGAGGACCAUCUCCUAAGGCUAAAUACUCUCUAGUGACCGAUAGUGAACCAGUACCGUGAGGGAAAGGUGAAAAGCACCCCGGAAGGGGAGUGAAAUAGAACCUGAAACCGUGUGCUUACAAGUAGUCAGAGCCCGUUAAUGGGUGAUGGCGUGCCUUUUGUAGAAUGAACCGGCGAGUUACGAUUUGAUGCAAGGUUAAGCAGUAAAUGUGGAGCCGUAGCGAAAGCGAGUCUGAAUAGGGCGUUUAGUAUUUGGUCGUAGACCCGAAACCAGGUGAUCUACCCUUGGUCAGGUUGAAGUUCAGGUAACACUGAAUGGAGGACCGAACCGACUUACGUUGAAAAGUGAGCGGAUGAACUGAGGGUAGCGGAGAAAUUCCAAUCGAACCUGGAGAUAGCUGGUUCUCUCCGAAAUAGCUUUAGGGCUAGCCUCAAGUGAUGAUUAUUGGAGGUAGAGCACUGUUUGGACGAGGGGCCCCUCUCGGGUUACCGAAUUCAGACAAACUCCGAAUGCCAAUUAAUUUAACUUGGGAGUCAGAACAUGGGUGAUAAGGUCCGUGUUCGAAAGGGAAACAGCCCAGACCACCAGCUAAGGUCCCAAAAUAUAUGUUAAGUGGAAAAGGAUGUGGCGUUGCCCAGACAACUAGGAUGUUGGCUUAGAAGCAGCCAUCAUUUAAAGAGUGCGUAAUAGCUCACUAGUCGAGUGACACUGCGCCGAAAAUGUACCGGGGCUAAACAUAUUACCGAAGCUGUGGAUUGUCCUUUGGACAAUGGUAGGAGAGCGUUCUAAGGGCGUUGAAGCAUGAUCGUAAGGACAUGUGGAGCGCUUAGAAGUGAGAAUGCCGGUGUGAGUAGCGAAAGACGGGUGAGAAUCCCGUCCACCGAUUGACUAAGGUUUCCAGAGGAAGGCUCGUCCGCUCUGGGUUAGUCGGGUCCUAAGCUGAGGCCGACAGGCGUAGGCGAUGGAUAACAGGUUGAUAUUCCUGUACCACCUAUA
rnacentral:rRNA from 1 species